UACGUAGGGGGCUAGCGUUGUCCGGAAUCAUUGGGCGUAAAGUGCGUGUAGGCGGUUCGGUAAGUCCGCUGUGAAAGUCGGGGGCUCAACCCUCGGAUGCCGGUGGAUACUGUCGGACUAGAGUACGGAAGAGGCGAGUGGAAUUCCUGGUGUAGCGGUGAAAUGCGCAGAUAUCAGGAGGAACACCAAUUGCGAAGGCAGCUCGCUGGGACGUUACUGACGCUGAGACGCGAAAGCGUGGGGAGCAAACAGG
rnacentral:rRNA from 1 species